UACGUAGGCAGCGAGCGUUGUUCGGAAUUACUGGGCGUAAAGAGUGUGUAGGCGGUGCUCUAAGUUCGGUGUGAAAUCUCCCGGCUUAACUGGGAGGUGCGCCGGAAACUGGAGUGCUCGAGCGUGGGAGAGGAAGCGGAAUUCCUGGUGUAGCGGUGAAAUGCGUAGAUAUCAGGAGGAACACCUGCGGUGUAGACGGCUUUCUGGGACCAUUGCUGACGCUGGAGACACGAAAGCGUGGGUAGCAAACAGG
rnacentral:rRNA from 1 species